GAAAACGUCCUCUUCUUUUAUUGUUUCCGAGCCAUUGGUUCAUUGGAGUUCGCCGUAGCUCAUUUUCUGGUGGUGAGAAGUCUUCUCCAAAGCUCAUCUUCUGGUGGUAAGAAAUCUUCAACUCAUUUUUUCAGUUUGCUGCACAAAAAGAGAUGUUCCUUGUGUUCACCCCGAAAUUGAGCUUCUUUCUCCUUUUUCUUUUGGUAAUCAACUGUCUGCAUCCUCUCUGUCGAGGAUUAGAGUCGUGUGUUCCAGCUCUGAGGCUCUGUGUAAGUAUUCUUUCACUCCCAUUCUUCUUUGUUCCUUUCUUCUUGUGGUUGAUUCUUCAUUAUCUUUCAAAUGUAAAGGUGGUUGGACAUACCCAAGAUGCUCCUAGGAUAAAUUUAACUUCUUGGACAUUCAUCUGGAUGCAAGCUCAUUGUCGCUAAUCUGGUUCCCAUAUCCUCAUUUUUCCUCUGGAAUCUGUUUUUGUCAGCUUACCUAGCUUUGGCUAGUUAUUAUUCUCACAACUAUUUUGCCCUGAAAAUUGCCACAAACUAAUUUGUAAUUGUAAUAGUUGUGAAAUACUACCCUUUAAUGUGGUUCCCCCUCAUGUUUGACUCUGAUUGACUGUAAUCUUCCUUGUUUUAAUUCUAAUGGUAGGAAUGCCCUUUUUAUCCAUGUUUAGAAUUCUCCUUCCCAUGUUAGAUAAUUAAUUGAAGCUGUGAAACUGUUGUAAUUCUACUUGACUGAUAACAGUAUUUGUGAUGUGAUCUGCUAGUUGAUUUGCCUCUCUAAAAGUAUACUCAAUUUGUACAUUUAGCCGAUUCAUCAUCUCUUUGAUCUUCUCUAUCUUCUCUGUUAUCUCCCAUGGCACUUUCCAUGUACUUCUAAUUAUUUGCUUUAAACUUAAUGAGUCAGUUUCCAGCUGAAUAUUA